rnacentral:lncRNA from 1 species
GGACCCGUUCUGGUCUUGAGAAACCCGUGGGCGAGUUGACAUAUGCAAGGGUUAAGUGCUACAUAUGUCGUGUGGUUGGAGAUCCCCAGCUGGGUAUUAAUCGAUUCGGAUCGCCGAACUUCUCGGAUAUGAAGACUGGAUCUUCGACCCUCAUCGUAGAUAACAAGUGAAAUUAAAGUUGAUAAAAUGAAGCUAGUGUAGGACAAGUGAAUGCUCUAGAUUAGGCAAAUCUAGAUUCAGGAAAAGUACUUAAUCUGUGAAGUAAAACUUUGGCAUAAGGAUCCACUACUAGUAAGCUUUUCUGCAAAAACGAGUCUUUGAAACUUGAUGAGCUUUACCUUGAUUCCCAACAAACCAGCAUACCCUUGAGAGUCUUUUCUUUAGUCGGGUAAGUCUUGCUGAGUAAUUGCGUACUCAGGGUUUUAUUCCCUGUUGUUUUUCAGGUUGUAAUUUUGUUCUGUUGUGGAUGGUGCUAAGUGCCGGUAGGCUCGGCCUUCUUAUAUAAGUAUAUCCCAUCUUUAGCUUCCCUAUUGAGGAUUGUCACUUAAGCUAGCAUGUAUUUUAAAACUUAUAAAUGUUUUAUACAUUCAAAUUGUAAUCUUUUUGAAUCAAUUUCUUUUGUAAUCAACUCCGAUGAUAUAUAUUGUAAUCUUGUUAUAACUUGUAAAUGUUGUAACUUGUAAUCAUUUUGUAAUAAAGAAUUUAUUUCCGCUGCAAGUGUUUGUAUGUGAGUUGUGUUUACUUAAUCCUGCGAUCUUGGCGGUAAGUCGUUUAUCCGAGGUCCUCGGGGCACUCGGACAGAUCCUGUUAAGUUGUUUGGUGCACAUGCAUAGCUGUCUGAGGUCUUUGAGACAAGGACAGGUGCAUGUGGGCCCGAUAACUUGGAAGGUUCUGCGACAGCUGGUAUCGGAGCUUGAUUAAGUAUGAUACAAUCACAUACGUAUUUUUAAAACAAAAGUUUGGUUUCAAAAAUCUAUUUUCAACUAAACACAUUGUUUGGCUUUGAAAAACAGUUUUGAAAAACUAUAAUGCUAGCGACAUCCUCUGUUAAGCCCUAAAUUAAGGUCUAUUAGGUGGCUUAUUUAAAAACCACUAACCCACAACCGGGGGUAUUGCAUACAUGUGUAUUGUUAUUUUUGAGGCCAUUCAGUUUUGAAUGGAUCGACGCUCAGGUAAAGUGAGAUGUGAGAGCAUGACCGAACAAACGUCGGUCCAGGGGAGAGUAUAAAAAGCGCUUGAUUAUAUACAUGUUUUACAUAUGUAUAUAUGAAGGCUAUGAUGUGGAGUAUUUACUUUUCCGGGAUUCAGUACCCCAUGGAUGUGUAUGGGUAUACAGACAUGGGAAUACUGAGAAGUGUAAUGUAUUUGCAACGACGCACCUACGCUCAGGUAAGAAGGUGAGUUACCAUAAUGAGCUGCCCUAUGGUUAAAGUGUGGCAGCGGCGCCUAUGCGUGGCUCGGCGCUUAAUGAGGAGCUGGCCUCCAUAUAGCAAUAUAUGGAGUAUAAACUGUGAUAAACUGUCAUGUGUGAAUUGCAUCAUUGGGAACUGGGCUGUGAUGAAAUUUUCUGCAGGUACACUAACUUCGAACUUGUAUGUGUAGCUGACGACUAGCAACAUAUCGAGAGAGAACGUAGAUAUGCCACCGAUAUAGAACGCUAUUGCCACAUUAUGUUGGCGAAAUUCGUGAGGACGAAUAGGACGAGCAUGCAUCCUGAUUGCCGCAUUAUGUUUGUUGUUUGCGCACAAAAAUGCUUCUCUCACCUUUAUUCUAAUAAUUGGUGAUUGUGAACGAACGUGCUUCCCUCGUCUUUAUUCCGAUAAUAAAUAAUUGGAAAAUGUGUGAAGCAUGACUGUCCUAUAAGCAAUUUCUAGCUUUGUUUGUUGUGUCCUUUAGAUAUGCGUUUAUGUGGCCUGUGGUUCUUUUUAAUUUGACCACUAGUCCAACUUGUGUUUGUUUUGGUGUGUUUGUGCCGGUAGAAUGUUGGUAGCUUGUUGACGUAAACCCAAAGCUAGGCUAUGUCCUUGUUUAGUAAACCUUGAUCUAAACGUGUAUUAAUUUCUUGACAACCUGUCCUAGGUGUCGUCUUGUGUGAAGAUCAUUUUCUUCACAAGAUUAUUGGAGUUCUAGUAAUUAGACCAAGUCAUGUCCUCAUCAUCUCAACAUUUGAAAUUGUAUGAGAUAUAAUUCAUAAUUUUGUCAUUUCUUCAAAGUCGCUCUAAAUCUUCAAAACAUGCAUGAGUUUGAAUUAUCGAUUCCUACUCCAUGGCCAAACUCGUGCAAAUAGAUGUUUAGGUAAUCCCCUUAUUAGACCUAAAAUGCACUCAAACUUAAAAACAAGGAUCUCGAGUCUGUGAUCUUAACAAUCCACUUGUGGCUCUCUUAUGGUCAUAAUUUCAUCCUAAAACAUACCUUUGUUCGGUUGGUGCAAGCUGAUAUCUCUAUGUCAGUUUGAGUCUCCAUCAGGAUCAUCUUGUUGCUUUCUCAGCCCAACCUAGGAAAGCAGUGCCCAAUCAUUUUCUUGAAUUUAAUGCCUUUGAUUUUUUUUCAUCUCUCUCGAAGGCUUAUCAAUUUAAUCUUAUGAUUGUUUCCCUUCCAUAUCUUAUUGGACGCUAAUUAUUGACAUGAUAAUCUCUGUGAUGGACAUAGAAAUAUGCUUGGGGCUAAAGUAACAGUCUCCCAUCGUACUCCUUAUCAACCAAUUUUUGGUUUUGGCCGUAUCGUGUUCACUUCAUCGGGCCAUGAUCUAUUUGACUCUCUACUUGUAAUCAUUCUUACAGGUAGAGUCUUUUUGUAUAUUGUCACCCUUGCUCAAUCUAUCUGUGUCAUGUGAGAUUUCUUAUUGAUUACGUCUGGCAAUGGUGUUAUGACUAAAACUGAUGGUGCUGCGACGAAACCGAGGGCCUCCUGUGGGUGAUCAACACAUGGUUGCGCUACUUGGCACACGCUGGUAUCACAGUUAGUAGUCAUAAUCCAUUAUGAGAUUAUAUCGAUAUGUUAUCUUUGCGCAAAUUGUUCUUACCACGUGAGAUUCAUUAUCGGUGCUAGUUCGACGAUGGUGUCCUAGUUAAUGACUUAUGGUGCCGCGUAAAGCCGAAAGUCUCAUGUGGCGGCUGACACAUGGUAGUGCUGUUCGGUACGCUGGUAUCGAAGUCUCUGGGUAUGAUCCAUUAUGGAACUGCACUGACAUGUUAUCUUCCGUAGACUGCUUCCGUGAAAUGAUUUCUAUGUUCUUUGUCAGAAUGAUCAAGCCACAUAUGUCAUCACUGUUAGAUCAAAAGGGUAUAUAACUCUAAUGUAUUCCUUCGUAAAUUUUCUACCCAUUCAGAAAUCUCCAUCGAAAAUCGAAACCUAUCUGUGUCUAAUCAUGUGAUAAAAUCACCCUUUUCAUGUGGAGACUCCUUUCUCUUGAUCUUAGUGACAACUGCACACAUGGAACCUUAUGUGUUCUUUGUCAGUUGUCGUCUGCUUGUUGACAUCUCUAGUUGGCUUAAGGUGAUACAUGCUAUAUCCACUAGAGAAACCACAUCCACUCGCCUUCACUCAGGACCGUCUUAUGCUAUCACUAUUAUGGACAGGGUUAUAUGCCUCUCUACUCUUAGAAGUCUUUCGUUCUGAAUCUCGGGACGAGAUUCUUUUAAGGGGAGAAGGCUGUAACACCCCAGGUGUUUAUCGUCUACUCGACCACGAGUAUGGACGUUAACACGUGAUAGCUGUGAAUGUAAAGGUCACUAAAUUUUAAUCAUCCUCGUUUAUCAUGAUUUGGAUAUCGUGUUUGUCUCCAUCUGUUUAAAUUGUCCUAAAUUAUUUCACAAAAAUUCGGACUUUAGUAAUCUUUCGAAACAUCGAAUCCAGUAUCGUUUUGGUUGAGCCAUCGACGUCUUGCCCAAACUCUAAUCCUAGAAAUCGGAUCUGGUCCCUUAAACUUCAUUUGAAAUUCUUUCACGCUUGUGUUGCACGUGUCUCUCUGUGGCCUGACAUCGUGACACGGGUGGCAGGUGCUAACCGGUGUCUGGAUAGCGCACAACUUCUCGCCCACGUGAACGAUGUGUGACGUCGCUUUCGCAAGGAUCACAAUUUCGAUGCUGUAUCGAUCUCGCGUAUUUAUUUCACGAAAUGUCGAGUCUGAUGUCCGUUUAAAAUUUAUGGAUUAAGAGAAUAUGAAUUUGGAAUCCCGACCCACUCUUGUGAUUUUUGACCCAAGUGAAUUUUAUUAGAAGAUCGACGACAAGAGUGUCGAUGCGAGAUUAAAUUGGACCGAGAUAAUUAGAGCCGGAAUUGAGUAAUCGUAAUUAAUUUGUUUCCCUGUUUAGACGCGGAUGAAAUUAUUUAAUUUCAAAUAAUUCGAAUCAAACGUAAAAUAGCGAUGUUAAUAUUAUUUUGGUUCAUCCUUGCAUCUCGCUUAGACCCAAAUCCUAGAACCCAAAUUUGUCCGUGUCUAAAAAAAUGUGAGAGAAACAUAGGAAAAUCCCUUUUCAGUUUUAUUUUUUCAUUGUCGUUGAUAAUCUCCCAUGGUGCCGUCUCUCUGGGAUUUUCUUGAAGUCGCUCGGAUCCCUAUCCUCCACCGUCUAGACUCCUCUUCUUAUCCCUUCGUACACAACUGCUGCUAGAUUUCUCCAGGCCAUCAGCUUGUCUCUGCUCGCCCAAGCACAGGUGUUGGCUUCCUCCCAUCGUAUCAACCAUAUGUGGAGUCCUUGCUUAUCCCCUGCGCAUAGGAAGCCAGCUCCCUCACGUUGCCUCAUCCCUAGACGCGCUCGCCCAGAUCGAGCGUCGUCGCUCAGCUCGCCCAGCCCUCCCCAUCCUUCUCUAGCCAUGGUGCUGCUCCCAGUCUUCUGCUCGCCCCUGCCCUCAGCCUUGGCGUCUGGCCGCCACUACCCCAGCUUUCCAUGGCGGCAUUUUCUGCUUCCUGGUGGCCGACGCCCUCCCUAAACUGAGCACCGCCGUCAACUGCGCCUUGGCGCUAAUCCUCCCCAACCUCUUCUUUGCCGGUGGUCGUCUCCAGCCCCUUCCAUGGCACCUAGUUUUAUUCCCAUGGCGAGCUCGCCCAAGCAAUCACCUCCAUCACAGGUGAUGUUUUCCCCUUCCCUUUCCUCAAGUUUGGUUCUCGGUGCCCAAGUUUUUGUGUCCCUGCAGCUCGCCGUGCCUGCGCAGCCCCGACAACGACUCCCUCUUCUGCGUCGCGCCAUUGACCCGCUCGAUGGAAUGCCGCAGCGAGCUCUACCCGAUCUGCAACGCCUGCGCGCCGUCGUCGAAAUCCCCGCAACCGUGUUGGUCCGCAACAACACAUCGUCGAUCUGCAAUCCCUAGCCUUGUGGUCGACCUUGGUGAGCCCCUCGCCGUUCCACACCCCUCGAUUCGUUAAAUACCAAAUCAAUAAAAUGUGCAUUUAAAUAUGUGUGUCAAUCACAGCCCUCCGUCGAUGUCCUGCCUUGCGCAUCGCUUGCUCAACGAAAGCCUCACUCGUGAACGACAUGCGCGACUCAUCCGAUCCCGCCAGGUUGUUUGAUGUGUGUGAUUGUAGUUGUUCUAAAUAUGUUUUAAUCGAUGUCAUGCAUAUAUGUGUCGUUGACGUUAUAGUGGAAGUGUAUGCAUUGUUCAAUAAAAUGCCUCCUUGUAUGAAGUAUACAUAUAUGGGUGGAUGCGUAUGCGUGUUAAUUGAAGAUUUUAGAGUAGAAAAGGAAGUAGAAAAAGAACUUGGAUGUUUCUCAUGUUUUCGGAUUGUUAUUAGGAGUGAGUUGGAUGUGUGCAAAAUGAUUCGUUUAUAUGCAUAAUGGAGUCGCGUCGUAUGAUUGAGUUAAUUGUUCUUGUGCUCACAAACAGAAAUUUCUUGUGUGUACAGUUUUGAUUACACAACUAAUCUGCUGAAUCAAACUACGUUUUCUGUAAAUAUGUUCUAUAUAAAAGUAGUAGGUAACCUCCCCAUCUUUCUUGUGUUAAAUUUUCAUGACCAUAGGUUUAGUAGUUUAGGAGUUAUGAUUUUUCCAAGUCCAGUUUCAGAAUCUGUCCAAAUUCUGUACAGGUUCCGAAAAUUUGAUUGUUUGGCUAAGUUAAAAUGAGAAUCAGUCAUUCCUAAUUAUAGGAUAAUUGUAGUACUUUCCUUAAGCUUUUCCAUAAAUUUUGGAUCACCCUUUUUGGUGAUCUAUAAAUUAAGUUACAGCUGUUUGAGUUAGGAUCUCUGAAUCUGUCCCAAUUUGGACAGCAGAGCCUUUCUUAUAUCUUUUGACCUUUAUAUGCAUUGAAUUAACCUGAGAUAUUUAUAAAUGAAUUGUAGACAAUUAUAUUAUCUUUCUAAAAAGUCUAGGAUCACCUGAUUUGGAUGUCUGAAACUCCAGUUAUGAAUUUUUGAAAUAAAGAGCCGAAUUCUGUCCAAAUCUGGACAGAAUUAAAGUUUAGCACUGUUUGAUCUUUUAAACUGUCGAAUCAGGUUGUGAUGAUAAUAUAAGAGUUAUAGAGGACUUUCUAAGCUUUCCAUAAAGUCCUAGUUUACUAUUUUUGGAUGCUUAUUUUAUGAGUUAUGAACUAAACAAAUAGUUGCUGUUCUGCUGUCCAAAUUCAGCAAGUAUUUAAAUGACUAUUUGGAGUUUCUUUUGUGUGGAUACCUAGAUUUAGUUAGUCCUUGUCUUGAUAAAUGAAGUUGGGUGGCUAAUUUUUAGAUCUGCACCUGUUAUGGCUAUAGUGGAUUGAGCUAAUUGUAUUGGCUAAUAUAGUGCAACAAAAAUCAUCAAUGGGUUAUAAGUGUUUGGUUAUGUUGACUGCCUUGGGCAUGUUCUCAAUUAGGUUUAUUGUCUUCUUUGCUGUAGAAUAGAAUCGUGACUGUAGUUGACUAGUUUUGUUUUUAUAGGUAUGAUCAUGUAACUCCAUUAUUGAUAACCCAUUGGUCAUGAUACUUACAACAUAGAAUUAGCUUUACCAGUGUUCUUGUGUCCUUAUAACUAUAAAUAAUGGGUUGUUCAUUAGUGCUAAUAAUAGUGUUAGUCCGUUGGCAGUGUGCUCUAGUCCAUGAGCUUAAGACUUGUGUGGUCUUAUGAUUGUUCGAUGCUUGAGUUAGAUAUUUUCAAGUGUAAAAGAUGCGCUUGUGGUACUUAGUAAUAUCUUCACAUAUAGUGUGCUCAUAGGAAUUGUGAUGACUUGUUUUAAGUAUUUAUCUUUUUUUAGUAUAGAUUAUCUAUUUUGUGUUCUUGCUCAUGCUCAUAUGCACUAUGCAUCUCCAAUAGGUACGCUAGAUGAUUAUGCGAAUUGGAGGGCAUGGAUCAGGAUGGAUCACAAGGUGGCUUUGAUGGACCCAUCUCGAUAUGGACGACUUGAUCAAGUGUCAGGAUUGUUGAUGCUCGCCAAGCGGACUUCAUCUAACCACACUAACCUAGUGUAUCCCAGGCAAGCCCCGGUGCAUUUGCCACCUCCUUGCUGUUUUUAAACUUUUAUCAUUUAUAUGAUGCAUUAGGUGGUAGGAGUUGAAUGAUUAAACCUUUGUUGCAUAACUUCCUUGAACUAUUGAUUACCAUCCUUGAUACCUGUUUUAAAAAGCUAGAUGUGCUUAGUAUGCUCAUAGACUAAGAACAAAAUGUUUUGAUCUAUGAAUCAUGUUUUUACAAAGAAAAGAGGCUGGAGUGAUGAAGGUAUCAAAGGCCUUGAUGACUCCAUCAUUUCAGUAGGGUACCUCUGACAGGUACCAGGUUUUCAGAAAUAACUUAAUAUGAGACCAGACGUUGAGCAGGAAAUGUCGCCCGUCUGUGUCGCUUAAGGACCGUUCCGAUUGUUGGCCUGCUGAUCUAGGACCCUUUAACUGGCCACAUGCCUCGUCAUGGGUAAGCUUAGCCUCGGUCGGACCAAUACCAGAAAGGCCGGCCCGCAAUGGGAGUGGAGAGAUGGCGAGAGUAGCUUGUACCCUCCGUGGCAAGAGACUGGAAGGUGGGGUGCUGUACUCUCGGAAACAUGGCGGGCACCAUGGCGAGGGUAACGUGUACCAACCAGGCCAACGGCUGGAAGGUGGGGUGCUGUACUCUCGGAAACAUGGCGGGCACCAUGGCGAGGGUAACGUGUACCAACCAGGCCAAUGGCUGGACGGUGGAGUAUUGUGCUCUCGGUUGGCGGGGACCCGUUCUGGUCUUGAGAAACCCGUGGGCGAGUUGACAUAUGCAAGGGUUAAGUGCUACAUAUGUCGUGUGGCUGGAGAUCCCCAGCUGGGUAUUAAUCGAUUCGGAUCGCCGAACUUCUCGGAUAUGAAGACUGGAUCUUCGACCCUCAUCGUAGAUAACAAGUGAAAUUAAAGUUGAUAAAAUGAAGCUAGUGUAGGACAAGUGAAUGCUCUAGAUUAGGCAAAUCUAGAUUCAGGAAAAGUACUUAAUCUGUGAAGUAAAACUUUGGCAUAAGGAUCCACUACUAGUAAGCUUUUCUGCAAAAACGAGUCUUUGAAACUUGAUGAGCUUUACCUUGAUUCCCAACAAACCAGCAUACCCUUGAGAGUCUUUUCUUUAGUCGGGUAAGUCUUGCUGAGUAAUUGCGUACUCAGGGUUUUAUUCCCUGUUGUUUUUCAGGUUGUAAUUUUGUUCUGUUGUGGAUGGUGCUAAGUGCCGGUAGGCUCGGCCUUCUUAUAUAAGUAUAUCCCAUCUUUAGCUUCCCUAUUGAGGAUUGUCACUUAAGCUAGCAUGUAUUUUAAAACUUAUAAAUGUUUUAUACAUUCAAAUUGUAAUCUUUUUGAAUCAAUUUCUUUUGUAAUCAACUCCGAUGAUAUAUAUUGUAAUCUUGUUAUAACUUGUAAAUGUUGUAACUUGUAAUCAUUUUGUAAUAAAGAAUUUAUUUCCGCUGCAAGUGUUUGUAUGUGAGUUGUGUUUACUUAAUCCUGCG